GUUCAAAAUUUCGGCCCCAAUCAUAGAUUGGCCAGAUAAUUUUCGCCCAGUCAUAUAUUAGGCCAGAAAUUACCGGCCUAGUUAUAUAAGAAGGUUUAAAUUUCAUACCCAGUCAUGUAUUUGACAAGUUGAAAAAUUACCAAUUCUAGCGGAACGUCUGUAUAUAUUUUUAUAUAGGAAGUGACCCCUCCUUGGGUGCAUACAUGCAAAGC
rnacentral:lncRNA from 1 species